rnacentral:rRNA from 1 species
GUCUUCUUGAUAAUAUUUUGAAGUCUUACCUGCUCAAUGAUUAAAUUUAAAUGGCCGCGGUAUUAUGACCGUGCAAAGGUAGCAUAAUCAUUAGUUUCUUAAUUGGAGACUGGAAUGAAUGGUUUGACGAGAAAUUGACUGUCUCUUAAUAAUUUUUAGAAUUUAACUUUUAAGUUAAAAGGCUUAAAUAUUUCUUUUGGACGAGAAGACCCUAUAGAGCUUUACAUUUAUAAAUUAAUUUUUAUUAUAUAGAUGAUUUCUUAAUAUUAAUUUGUUUUGUUUGGUUGGGGUGACUUGAAGAAUAAAUAAACUCUUCAUUAUUAAAUCAUUGAUUUAUGUUUAUUUGAUCCAUAAUUUUUGAUUAUAAGAUUAAGUUACCUUAGGGAUAACAGCGUAAUCAUUUUUGAGAGUUCUUAUUGAUAAAGUGGAUUGCGACCUCGAUGUUGGAUUAAGAUUAAUUACGGGUGUAGUGGCUUGAUAAUUAGGUCUGUUCGACCUUUAAAUUCUU